rnacentral:lncRNA from 1 species
GCUCCACGAUAGCCGACCAAUCAGAGAGCAGCACACCUUUUCUGCAGUAAAAGGAUUAGUCGUCUUUUUUUAUGCCAUCGGUCGCCAUCAGUCGCCGUCACUGCGCAAUCAUUCGUGUUUUGUUCGUUGAUGCCAUCAGAAAUGGGCGGAGCUUAGUUUGUCAAACUGAGCUAGACCAUCAGUCACGUGACGCUUUGACGCCAUCAGCCGCAAUCACUCGUCACCCGAGUCCGGAGUGUCUCCAUGGAGCACCAUCAGUGAAACCUAACCUCUAACAAUUUUUUAGUAGCGUAAUCCCGUGAUCGUGACGGACUCGUGAGUUGAAGCUGUGAAUUGGUGAGUUAUAAACUUUUAUUAAAUUUUGAUUAUGUCUCAAGUCAAUAUUUUUGAUCGUGGUAAGUUUUUUUCUUACAUUUUCCAUAAUAAUGAAUGAGAGGAGAGAAUAUAUUCUGUUUCGAUGAGAAGGAAGCCUACGAGCCUCUGAAGCGAAUCAAAUUGUUCAAGCAUGUCUUAUGAUUGAACUUCAUUUAGACAUCAAAGCUACAAGUUGGACUGAAAUAACAACUGAUAAAUCAUUGAAUUAAUACAGGUUAUAUGCAAAUUAUGGGGUGAAGCAUUUUCCUGCCUUGUAUGGAUGAGAUUGCUAACACAGGUGGUACUCUACCGAAGUUUAUACCUAUCUCUCUGCAGUUCCUGUCCCUUCGGCAAAGACAGUGCAAAAGAAUGUGCAAUUCCUAUCCAUGCAUUUGAUAUUUUAGAUAACAGUAAUUUUACCUGCCUUUCUCCUUGAAUUCGGUAAUUUUUUCUUUCUCAGAAUACAAUAAUGAUGAGGUACGAGCUCAUCAAAGUCGAUGGGAAGCCGGUCAGGGAUUCCACCGGGAAGAAGCUACUCUUGAGAGAUCAGUUGGGGAAUGAUGUAUUCAUUGAUGAGGCGCUCAUCUCUUUCGAACCUGAAGCUCCACAAGAAGCUCCCAAUUCAACUUUGCAAAAAAAAUCAGCAGAGACGAAACAAAAUGCAGAAGUUGAAGAGAAAUUUUGGAGCAGAAAUUUAGCAAAGCCAGAAGAGUUUAAUUCUCUCCCGGUCAAAAAUGUCCAAGAACUCCUCAUAAAAAUAUUCGGAGAUCCAAAAAUCCAACAAUUAUUUAAGGAUACCGUAACCCGUAAGAGUAAGGUUUGGGAGCUUGUAGCGGAAAGUUUGCAGAAAGCCGGAUACCCUUUGACACAAAAAGGACCAAGAUCACCCGGCAAACAAUGCGAUGAUAAAUGGAGACAGCUAAAAGCUCAGUAUUACAAACACAAGAAUCUCAAGACUGGGGAAGGGGCCAAAACUCCACUGCCUUACUAUGACCUAGUGGAUUCAAUCAUAGGAGAUGAUCAACUAACUUCACCCAAGCAUACCAGAGAUACACUGAACUCUUCAAACAAUUCUAGGAGCAGUGAAACAGCUGCAGCACCGUCUCCAAGUAACAGUGUCGAACAACCUCAACAGAACUUGUUUGGUGAGUCUGAUUCUGAGGAAGAUGCUGAUACACCUCCUGAUCCCCAAACUACGGCUGAGGUAGAUCAUGCAGGAUCAUCGAACUCUAAUAUUCACAAAGGUAGAGGUAAGAAACGUUUAAAACCUGUGACUGGCAAUCAAAGAGUCAUGAUUGAAAUGAUGGAAAAAAAGCAAAGAUGAUUGAAAAAUUGGCAGAAAAUAGGCUGAAAGUGUUGCAAGAUAUGCAUAAAGAGGACAACGAGACAACACGUCAGUUGAUAGAUGUCAUGAAAGAAGCACUAAAGUCAAAAAAUAGUGCUUCGGGUGAAAAGGAGAAUAAUUUCUCUGCUUAAAAUGUCCUUUGCACACUGGAAGGCACGUAGAGGCAAGUGUUAAGCUUUCGACUUAUUCAAAAAUUCUAGGUGAUUCGUCCAGCUCAAGUGACGUGGACAAACUGACAUGCGAUAUACCGCAUCAAUUAGAUCAAAAUUCUUGGCAGAUUUUGAAUUUUUAGCAAAAAAAAGACGAUAGCUCUUGCGCAUGAGCCUGAGGAAUCAUUCUAAACCAAAAAAUUUCCAAAAUUCGUAGAAAUGAAGGCAGAAUAGUGUGAGGAAAAAAAACUCACAUUCAAUACAGCUAUCGGUUUCUGUAUCGCAUGCGAGGAUUUUUGCCUAACACUAUUCUACUUUCAUUUCUCUGAAUUUUAUCUAUUUUUUAGUUUAGAAUGAUUCUUUAGGCUCAUGAGCAGGGUCUAUUGUCCUUUUUUUUGCUAAAAAUUCAAAAUCUGCCAAGAACUUUGACCUAAUAGAUGCGAUAUAUCGCAUGCCUGUUCGACCACGUCACUUGAGCUUGACAAAUUACCUUAAGAUUGAAAAUGUAAACAUUUUAGCUGCUACAACACUUCUACAGGCCAAUUUUGACCCUAAGUUGUACCACUGCAAGCAACUUACACCAAUUUCAGUACUUCCCUACUUUUCUAUCUAUAAGUUUCCUCUAUAAUUUUUUGAUAUCAAUGGUCACAUUUUGUUUCAUUUUUUAUAAUAUUUUCCUAAUAAUUUUUUGAUCUCUUCGAAAGUCUGCUUUAGUCCUAAUGGAAAGAAACUCAGCAUAAGCGUCAACUUUGGGUGACUAAACCGUAUUUUUUUGGUUUUGAAUCACUACAUUUCGUGUUUUCUGUUGAAUAUUUUACAACACAAAACAAUUUACGCUGUCUGUAGGAAAUGAACCUCAAAACAAAGUGUAAAAGUCUAAAAUUACCAGUAGUCACAUGUAAAAAGGCAUAUAUGACAACUUAGUUUCAUACACUCCAUUUUAAAACGUCAUGUUAAAUUUCCAGACUACGCUGCGUAAAUCUAAGCAUUAUUUUUGAAAGAAAACUUGUGAUAGUGUGCUCAAAAUCAUACCCUGACAGCCGGCCGCCUUUUAGGGGAGCCAAUGUGUUGAGAGUUUCUUUAGAAUAAUAUUGUAUGUACAUACUCAAUAUUCUGUUAUGUUUUUUGUCUGUUUUAAAUUUUUGGAGUCUGAGUAAUUUAGUUAUUAGUUUUUUCUACCUCCUUAGUUUAAAGUUGUUAUACAUGAAGUUUGUAUUUUCUUGUAAGCAAACUAAUUAUGGAAGUUAUUUCGUAUUGUCAGCAAUUUUUCUAUUAGUUGAAUUUUUCUUCUUGCAGUCCUAAGAUUUUAGUCACAGAUUCUGGUGUUUUUUUACUUUAGCAUUAUACGAAUUGUGCUAUGUGAAAUUUUCUUUAAUAGUAGGUGUGACUAGAUUUUUAUUGUGACAAGGAGCAGCUUGAUGCAUCCCUAAAAAUUUAGCUAUCUUCUUCAGAUGUCAUGUGGUUACAAUUUCCUGACAUUAGGUAAUUUUUCCAAACAUAGCUUUUCUUAAAAAUUUUUUUUGCCGUUUGUUGAAGCUCCCUUGUUUGUAAAGAUGGAGGUUCUUAGAACUUUAUCAUUAGCUUAGAAGUGACAAAGUAGUCAGCAAAAUGUCAAAAGUUGUUGAACUUUCAAGGUCACUUAAGAGUACUCAUUCCAUAACGAUCAUAUUUAAGCCAUUUGUAUUGAUUCUUUUAGUUAUUUCUUUUCUUCUAGCAGCCCAUUUCAUGAGUACAUAUUUAUUUGAAGGUACCGCAAGCGUCAAACCUUGUGUUCUUGCACUAAAAUUUUGUAUCGUUAUAAGUAUCCACUUAUAGUCAAAAAUGUUUUCAUAAAAUUGGUGCUGCUUUGUUUCUUUGUCGUUGUUUCACGGACAUAAACAACAUUGCAUCCAAUGUGCUGCAGUAAAUAC